AUGAAGAGAAUUUAUGACAGCAAAACUGGGAUCCUAAUGUUCUAAGUCCUUUUUUAUCUAUUUUCCUUGUUGCAGUGACUUCUUUUAGGUUGUUUAGGAGCAGCCUACCUACUAUUAGCUUGCUGGUGUUCAGCACAUACACAUGGUCUAGACACAUUUGAAGUGCUGGUUUUAGCAGCAACUCAUCAGAGGGAAAGGUGUUAAAUCAUCUUGAAGAUUUUGGUUUCUUUAGGCCUAAGCGUGUGACUUUCACAGCUCUGUGUCUCUGGCAUUGCAUUAAGUAUUGUUGCUCAUUUUGUGGUAUGGAGAACCAUCUAAGAAUGUUGAUAUUAAGAUUUUCUCUCCCUCUCUAGAUACAGAUAACAGUACUGUAGUCUCAAAUAGUCUGGAUCUGCUAUAGGAAAGUCAGUGAAAUCACUUGUGUAACAGAAUGGCUGUUAAAUUUCAAAAUAUUUGUCAGGUGAGUUUAAAACAAAAUAAGAAACAUCUAUUUCUCCCCAUCAGAUUGAUUUCUUAUGUGAGGUCUUUAUGAUCAGGUUUCAUUGUAAUUAAAGUAUUACACAUGUUCAGGGAAAAAUUUUGUAACAUAGCCACAUAGCUCUCAAAAGAGUGACAGGCUUGGGGGAUUGUAAAUUGGAAGUAAAAAUACCAAUCUGGGAAUAUAUCUAAAUGUGGUGAGGAUGCUUAGAAAAAAUUAUUUUAAAAAUACUAAAAAUAUGGCUUAGAAUAAAAAGAUGCUAAACUUUCUCACCUGCUCAGACAAUUUGACUGUUUAAAGACACUUAAUGUUCACAGCUUCUGCCAUCUGAUGAUCAUCUUGACUCUAGAGAAAGCUCCAUUCCUCCCUCCAAAGAAAACCACCAAAAAACAAGAGAAGCUAUAUCUGUUCAGCUCAGCAAGUCUUCUAAAGGUGUCUCUGUCUAGUUCUCGGAGUUAUCUGAAAUAGUGCCAUCUCAAUAUCUGCUUUAAAGAUGGGAAUGGAGAUAUUGGCAAUAAAAAGGAACACAGUGCAAAUUUGACAAGUAAACGUGUAUUUUGGACAAUUCCUGAGUGACAGGCAAUGAAUGUGCAUAACAGUGGAGCAGAAGUGGAUGGAACUUCAUUUGUGUAUGAUGAUCAUCUGUCUCUCAGUAAGCUGUGGUGAGUAAGCACAAUAGCAGUUCCUACUAUUUGGGUACUGGUGAGGGAGAAGUAGCAAUGACAUUCUUGUGUGCUUGUGUUGUCUGUGUGCCUUGCGUAUG
rnacentral:lncRNA from 1 species